rnacentral:rRNA from 1 species
UGUGUGUCGUAGUUAACGCGUUAAACAGGGCGCCUGGGAAGUACGGCCGCAAGGCUAAAACCCAAAGGAAUUGACGGGGACCCGCACAAGCAGUGGAGCGCCUGGUUUAAUUCGAUGGUCAGCGAAGAACCUCACCUAGGCUUGAACUGUAGCUGCACACUCCCAGAAACGGGAGAAUCCUUCGAGGGUGCUACAGAGGUGCUGCAUGGCUGUCGUCAGCUCGUGUCGUGAGAUGUAGGGUUAAGUCCCACAACGAGCGCAACCCCUAUUCAGUGUUAUAAUUACUCUGAAGACUGCCCUGUCCAAACGGGGAGGAAGGAGGGGACGACGUCCAGUCAUCAUGUCCCUUAUGUCUAGGGCUACACAGACGCUACAAUGGCCGGUACAAUGGGUUGCCAAACCGCGAGGUGGAGCCAAUCCCAUCAAAGCCGGUCCCAGUUCGGAUUGCAGUCUGCAACUCGACUGCAUGAAGUUGGAAUUGCUAGUAAUCGCGAAUCAGCAUGUCGCGGUGAAUACGUUCUCGGGUCUUGUACACACCGCCCGUCAGGGCACGGGAGUCGCUCUUGCUCGAAGU